AGCAGUAGCCGCGGUAAUACGGAGGGGGCAAGCGUUAUCCGGAAUUAUUGGGCGUAAAGGGUACGUAGGUGGCCUUUUAAGCGUAGGGUAUAAGGCAAUGGCUCAACCAUUGUUCGCCCUAUGAACUGGAAGGCUUGAGUGCAGGAGAGGAAAGCGGAAUUCCUAGUGUAGCGGUGGAAUGCAUAGAUAUUAGGAGGAACAUCAGCGGCGAAGGCGGCUUUCUGGACUGCAACUGACACUGAGGUACGAAAGCGUGGGGAGCAAACAGGAUUAGAUACCCGUGUAGUCCCUGUCUCUUAUACA
rnacentral:rRNA from 1 species